rnacentral:misc_RNA from 1 species
UUUUUUUUUUUUUUUUUACUGUAGGAGUAGGAGAAAAGCGUUUCAACUAUCAUUAAGUCAAUAGUCAAUGCUCUCCAUCAAACUCAAAUACACCAGCACCACGGAAAUCGGCAGCAUGGAUACAAAGAAACGCAGAAACGGAUACGGGACAGUUCCCGAAUCGCGUAUAAGGUUAAUAUUAAAAAUAUAAUUAUACCUAAUUUUUUUUGUAUAUCAUUAAAUUAAUUAAUCAGAAUAGAAUUCUUUGAUUGAAUACUAUUAGAAAAAUAACGACAAUUAUCCUUUAAAAAAUUAAGGGAAAAAACAAAUAAGAAAUUGGACCAAAAAUAGAAGGAAGAAAUAGGGGGAAAAAAAA